rnacentral:rRNA from 1 species
UACGUAGGAGGCGAGCGUUGUCCGGAGUUACUGGGCGUAAAGGGUGCGCAGGCGGCGGUUCGCGUGGCGAGAUGAAAUCUCCUGCUUACCUGGGAGGAUGGUCGCCAGACGGGAUCGCUUGAGGGUCGGAGAGGGGGCGUGGAAUUCCGGGUGGAGCGGUGAAAUGCGUAGAGAUCCGGAGGAACACCGACGGCGAGGCACGC